rnacentral:rRNA from 1 species
AACACAUGCAAGUCGAACGCUCGUAGCAAUACGGGAGUGGCAGACGGGUGAGUAACGCGUGGGAACAUACCCUCCGGUUCGGAAUAGCUCAGGGAAACUUGGAUUAAUACCGGAUACGGCUGAGAGGCGAAAGAUUUAUCGCCGGAGGAUUGGCCCGCGUUCGAUUAGCUUGUUGGUGAGGUAACGGCUCACCAAGGCGAUGAUCGAUAGCUGGUCUGAGAGGAUGAUCAGCCACAUUGGGACUGAGACACGGCCCAAACUCCUACGGGAGGCAGCAGUGGGGAAUAUUGGACAAUGGGCGCAAGCCUGAUCCAGCCAUGCCGCGUGAGUGAUGACGGCCUUAGGGUUGUAAAGCUCUUUCGCUCGGGACGAUAAUGACGGUACCGAGAUAAGAAGCCCCGG